UGGGAUUCAGGGGUGGGGAAGCCAGCCCUCCAGCUGCCUGCCCCACACCUCUUAGCCCCUCAAAGCCCCACUUUGUCCUCAGGAUAAGGUGAACUUCGCGUUGUGCUCGGGCCCCCGGCUUGAAGCCGCGCUGGCCUCCAAGGAUCGGGAGAUCCUGCGGCUGCUGAAGGAUGUGCAGCACCUCCAGAACUCUCUGCAGGAGCUGGAGGAGACCUCGGCCAACCAGAUCGCGGACCUGGAGCGGCAGCUCACGGCUAAGUCCGAGGCCAUAGAAAAGCUGGAAGAGAAGCUCCAGGCGCAGUCUGACUAUGAAGAAAUUAAAACAGAGCUGAGCAUCCUGAAAGCCAUGAAGCUGGCCUCCAGCACCUGCAGCCUCCCCCAGCCUGGCUUCUUGUCUCCCCAGGGCAUGGCCAAGCCCGAAGACUCAUUGCUCAUGGCAAAGGAGGCCUUCUUCCCCACGCAGAAAUUCCUUCUGGAAAAGCCCGGUCUUCUGGCCAGCCCUGGUAGGGGAGACGGAAUGCUCUUGGGGCCAAGGGGCUGUGAUAGGGGCUGCCCAUGGGCCUCUGGCCUUCUCCGCGCCCCCACGCGACCGCCUCCCAUGCGGGCAGGAGACAGAUGGAGAAAAGGGUCCACACUGAAUGA